GCGAAAGUCGUUGCAGUCUCAGACAAACGAACAUUGAGCUGUUUUAACGACAAGCCAGAGCUGUUUUAUCCGCUGAUCCUAGUGUUGAAGAGGACACUCGAUACUCACCAAACUGUUUCUUGCCUGCAAAUGUGUGACGCGCGAGGUUGUCUGCGCCGUCUAUGGUCUGCACGGAUUUAAAUCUGUUUGUGGAACUUGGACUCAGGAACUUCUGAGAAUCUAUUUUGUUAUUAGUAUUUGUUGUGAAUAAAUAUUCUUUG